CGGGGUGUGGCGCAGUUGGUAGCGCGCUACGUUCGGGACGUAGAGGCCGGGAGUUCAAGUCUCCCCACCCCGACCA
rnacentral:tRNA from 1 species